AUGCCUGAUGCACCACGUUCAGAAUAUAUUGGAAAAAGAGAAACACAAAGCUGCAACCCCACUCCUGACCAGAUGAGGACGGCAGAAGGACUAGAAACCAGGAUGAGAACUGUAAUUCUAGGACUUCAUCUGGCCUGGGUGAGUGGCCAGCAGAAGGAGAAAGGUGACCAGCAGCAGGUGAAACAAAAUCCUCCCUCUCUCACAGUGCAGGAAGGAGAGAUUUCAGUUCUGAACUGUACGUAUGAAAACAGCGCAUUUGACUACUUCCCAUGGUAUCGGCAGUUCCCAGGAAAAGGCCCUGAAUUUCUGGUAGCCAUUCGUGAAACUAUGAAUAAAAAGGAUGCCGGAAGAUUCACAGUUUACUUCAGCAAAGGCGCCAAAGAGCUCUCCUUGCUCAUCAGGACGAUGCAGCCCACAGACUCGGCCGCCUACUUCUGCGCCGCAAGCACACAGCGCCCUCCAGGCCCCUGCAGCCUGUGCACAAACCUGCGUGUGGGGCUCGUGAAGAGCCCUGCUGGAGGCUCAGGCUGAGAGAGAAGCACACUAGCUUUCUUUUGUAUAGAUAGGGGCACGGUGAGUGCACAAGUUGAACUAGUGUGGUAAUAUAGGAAAAGUUAUUAACUUAGCUUCAUCAAUGACAACACUGCCUGACAAUUAAAGUAUUUGAGAUUUUGAUAAGACACCCAGUCUAUUGUAGGACAAACGGGACUUUUACACACUACUGACAGGAGGCUAAGUGGUGCAUCCUCAGCUGAAAGUCCUUGGGCAGUUCCUCAUGAGGUAACCUUACCAUAUGACAAGAAAUUCCAUUUGAAAAUAUUUGUCCAAGAGAAAAGAAAGCACAUUUUUAUACAAGAACAUUUGUUUAUAGCAGUCCUAUCCAUAAUCACCCCACACUACAAGCUGGAAGUAACCCAAAUGUCCACUACCUGAUAAAUAGAGGGACAAAUCAAGGUAUUUUGCUAUAAUGCAACACUACAGUUUAAUAAGAUGGGUUCUGCUGGUGAUAGAAAACACAGAGGAUUUAUUUUAAAACUCUAUGCUUCAUUUAGUGAAUUGAUUGAGGUACAUAGUGCACUCCUGCAAUGGAAAGGAAGUCAGCAAUUGGACGAGCGGACUGUGACAGAAACAAUUUGGAUGGAUCGCAAAGGUAUGUACUGAGUGAAAUAAGCCAACUUCAAUGAUGACGUGGCGUAUGAUCCUGCUGCACAGCGUACUCACAUAAGCAACAUUAUGGGAAUGUGGAAAGGUCGGCUGAGACAGGGAUUGUCAGGUGAGAGGACGUGCAGGUGAAGGGGUUGUGGGUGAUGGGGCAGUCCGCUGUCAUGACUGCAGUGGUGGUUACGCAUAACUGUACAUGUGAGAGAUUUUAAAGUGAUUAUAUUCAGAUACACACUCACACACCCUGGAGUGUGUGUAAAAACUUAUGAGUCAAGGUAAUGUCUGGACUUUAAUCAACAGCCUUAUAUAGGAGUAUUAAUACAUCAGUAUUGGAGCAAUAUUUCAUCACUAUCCUAGUUUUAAUAAUCGUACAUAGAGACAAUGAUAUAUACAUAGACUAAUGUAACAUAUUAUCUGUGGAGAAAACUCAGUG